GGACCAGCGAGUCUGACUGACUGACAGAAGGUCGGGACCUUUUUGACGCUAAGCAAGCAAGCCCAGCUUGAUUGUAGCCGAUAAGAGAAAUGGCUUUGAGACCUUUCGCUGCCGAUGGACCUGUAGAACACUAUAACGGCAGACUACCGGUUCCGCGGCGAUGACCUGCGUCGUCGCUGCCACAAGUGCGCUCAUAUUCAAUUUCGUCAUCAGGUGAAGGAGGUGCAAGGCGUUGGUCAAGAACUUCUUCUGAUAAUGUGUUAUCCGUAGCCCAGGGAGAUGGUAGAGAGGGGAUGAUGUCCCCAGGAUGCUCUCCUUUGAUCACUUCCAAUGCUAUUACACCAAAGCUAUACACAUCACAUUUCUCGGUUACCUUCAUCGUGUAAGCAAGCUCUGCAUAAAAAUUUAAAUAAAUUCAACAAAUUUAUGAUGUAUUUUCUUGUAGAUACACAUUAUGGCUGGUUGAAGUAAUAGAACAAUGGAAUACGUUA